UACGACUACAUAUCAGGCAUAUCAAUAAGCGGAGGAAAAGAAACUAACUAGGAUUCCCUCAGUAACGGCGAGUGAAGCGGGAAGAGCUCAAAUUUGAAAUCUUCAAGGUUCUACCUUGACGAAUUGUAGUUUAAAGAAGUGUUUUCUGUUGGAGUUUUGGUAAAAGUUCUUUGGAAUAGGACAUCAUAGAGGGUGAGAAUCCCGUAUUUGACCAUUAUUUUCAGCUGUGUGAUACACUUUCAAAGAGUCGGAUUGUUUGGGAAUGCAGUCCAAAAUGGGUGGUAAAUUUCAUCUAAAGCUAAAUAUUGGCGAGAGACCGAUAGCGAACAAGUACCGUGAGGGAAAGAUGAAAAGAACUCUGAAAAGAGAGUUAAACAGUACGUGAAAUUGUCAAAAGGGAAGCGUUUGACACCAGUGUUGUUUUCUCGAAAAUCAAUUAAAAAUAGUUGGAUUUUGUGUUGUAUUGACCUUAACAGCUUGCUUCACUCUUUUCCAGCUUUUUUUAAUGCACUUUUCGUUUAACAAGUCAACAUCAGUUUCCUUUUGUUGUAAAAGGGUCAUUGGAAGGUGGCUUUCUCUUCGGAGAAAGUGUUUAUAGCCUUUGAUCUCUGCAAUCGGAGAGAUUGAGGUCUGCAGCGUAGAUCCUUCGGGGUUAGAUACAUUUGUGCUAAGCUACAGCUUUUCAUAGACAACUUGUUGACUAUGUUUAGUCUUGUGACUUACCCGCUUAUGCUAUUUUACCUACGCUUAGGAUGUUGAGCGCAUGUCUCUCUCU
rnacentral:rRNA from 1 species